rnacentral:lncRNA from 1 species
CAUGUUCAUUACCAACAUUCAGGCCGACGUCACCAUCAUCAUUCCCUGGACCAUUCCGCUAGCAGACUAACUGAACUUUCUGCCUUCUCACUCAGACCCUUCCAGCCAUCAGUAGAGUGCAGGGUCCAGCACAUAGAAAUCACUCCAUUCACUGACUGAAAAUUGAAAGAGAUGGUUGGGACACGCUUCCAUGGCAUGAUAUGGGGAUGCAAUAGAGCCCUAUGUGACCCCAAACAACCCCAAGAACACCUGAAAAGGAGACAGAAGCCAAUCAAGGGAAGACACAAAACACGACUCUUCAUUCCAGUCUCUAUAGUCAGCCAGUAUUCAUUGAGUGCUUUUUCUGUGCUGGGUGGGGUGCUGAGGAGGGGAGAAAGACAAGAUUUUUUGGAGCUUUGGA